rnacentral:lncRNA from 1 species
CUAAAUCCAUUAUACACACCGAAAUUUGCAUGUCCACCUCCAGUGUCACAAGAGAUUGAUAAUUCAAAGUUGGAGGAAUUGUUUUCCAAGUUCGUAGCAGCAAAUGAGGAGAAUAUGAGUAAUCAAGUGAGGUCAAUUCAAAAUCUUACGGAUCAGAUAGAGCAAAUGACCAAAGCCAUAAGAAAUCUUCCUCUAAAUACUUGGCUUUAUG